CCAAAUAAGGAAAUAAAAGCUGGCCACCCAAACUGGUAGAGGCAACUGCGCUCAGGUCUCCUUCCGGUGUGUGGGUUGUUUGUUCUUUUGCUCUUCGCAGUAAAUUUUGCUGGUGCUCAGUCCUUGGGUCUGCACUACCUUUAUGAGCUGUAAGACUGACUGUGCAGGUCUGCGGCUUCAUUUCUGAAGUCAGCAAGACCAUGAACCCACCAGAAGGAAGAAACAAACUCUGGACACAUCUGAACAUCUGAAGGAAAAAAUUCCGGACACACCAUCUUUAAGAACUGUGACACUCACCGCAAGGGUCUGUGGCUUCAUUCUUGAAGCAAUGAGACGAAGAACCCACCAGAAGGAACCAAUUCCGGACACAUUUUGGCGACCACAAAGGGAAAAUCGACUAUCACCAAGCGGCUUGGGUAUGUCCUUAUCAGCAGCAUGAAAAUGGACUAAUACAAAUAUGCUGAGUUAAGUCCUGGACAAGAAACACUUUGCCAACCUCUGGACUAGACUGAGUAAAGCAAGCAGAAAGAUCCAAUUUUAAAAAGAGGUGAGGAAAAUGGGACAACUUGGCUAUGGAGAGAGCAAGAAGAAUGCAACUGAUGUGCACAAAGUUUGAAGACAAAGUUACUCAGUUUAGAUCAGGGGUCCACAACCCCCAGCCAUGGACCAGUACUGAUUUGUGGCCUGUUAGGAACUCAGUUGCAGUAGGAGGUGAAUGCCAGGCCUAAAUGAAUAAAGGCAUGACACUGAGAUUGAAGGCUAGUUCUACUUCAGAACCACAGAGACAUGAGCACCAGCAAGUUUGAGGUUGGAUAAGGAUCUUCAGAACUCCUCAGCUUCAGAUGGUCAAGCACUGCUUCCUCCCUUCUUCAACGGCAUCUCUAGCAUGUAUACUUCCCUUAAAUCCACCUUCGUAGCAUUUGCUGAUGGAAGAGGCACAACAGAGUCCAUGCCUUCACCUCCUCUGGCCAACUCUAAUCAUGAAUCUCCUGUGAAUCAGCUGGGAAACAUGCAGAAUAUGAGAUUGGGGCCCUCAUUCAUACUAACUGGAAUUUUCCUUGGCAAUGGUAGAACAGAAGCUUCUCCAUUCUUUACAGAUGAAUUUGCUUUAAGUAAGAUCUUCCCAGAGUACAAAAGAAAUUUAUUCGGAAAAUUUCAAACUAAUAUGGCCUUCUCACUGGAACUGGAUCCACCAUCCCUUUUGCUCAGUGUCGUCUUGUUUAUGUUUUAGAUCCUUUGCAAGGUGAGCUACACCUCUGAGAGGAGCUCCUGGAAAUUACCAGAUACUUAAUGUUGCCAGCUGUUACAGAUGGAGGUGAUGCACCUUGAUGAUGCAUAAGUACUGAGCCUGAAUCCUACAAAUGGGAAAAGGUGCUCAUAUCAGACUUAUGCAUUAGAUAUCAAACUACAAAAUACAAGUGCAGUUGAUACCUGUUUAGAUGAUGUAGAGCAAGGUAACAGAGUAUGUAUUAAAAGCAAAAAUUCCCAUGAAGCUGAACCGUUACUCUCUGCCAAAACCUCCCACUCUCAAGUUUUAAGAGCCAAUAAACCUUGUAUCUGUACGUUCAGCUUUGCCUUUUUUUUCCCAGGACUGUAAACCUCUGUCAAGGUUUACCAUGUUUCAUUGAUUUUAUUUUUUCUAGCACCAACAUAAUGC
rnacentral:lncRNA from 1 species